UACGUAGGGUGCGAGCGUUAAUCGGAAUUACUGGGCGUAAAGCGUGCGCAGGCGGUUCGCUGUGUCCGAUGUGAAAGCCCCGGGCUUAACCUGGGAAUGGCAUUGGAAACUGGCGGGCUUGAGUGCGGCAGAGGGGGGUGGAAUUCCGCGUGUAGCAGUGAAAUGCGUAGAGAUGCGGAGGAACACCGAUGGCGAAGGCGGCGACCUGGGCCAAUACUGACGCUGAGGUGCGAAAGCGUGGGGAGCAAACAGG
rnacentral:rRNA from 1 species